CGGGUGAGUAACACGUGAGCAAUCUGCCCCUGACUCUGGGAUAAGCGCUGGAAACGGCGUCUAAUACCGGAUACGAGCCGACCAGGCAUCUGGAGCGGCUGGAAAGAACUUCGGUCAGGGAUGAGCUCGCGGCCUAUCAGCUAGUUGGUGAGGUAAUGGCUCACCAAGGCGACGACGGGUAGCCGGCCUGAGAGGGUGACCGGCCACACUGGGACUGAGACACGGCCCAGACUCCUACGGGAGGCAGCAGUGGGGAAUAUUGCACAAUGGGCGAAAGCCUGAUGCAGCAACGCCGCGUGAGGGACGACGGCCUUCGGGUUGUAAACCUCUUUUAGCAGGGAAGAAGCGAAAGUGACGGUACCUGCAGAAAAAGCACCGGCUAACUACGUGCCAGCAGCCGCGGUAAUACGUAGGGUGCGAGCGUUGUCCGGAAUUAUUGGGCGUAAAGAGCUCGUAGGCGGUUUGUCACGUCUGCUGUGAAAACCCGAGGCUCAACCUCGGGCCUGCAGUGGGUACGGGCAGACUAGAGUGUGGUAGGGGAGAUUGGAAUUCCUGGUGUAGCGGUGGAAUGCGCAGAUAUCAGGAGGAACACCGAUGGCGAAGGCAGAUCUCUGGGCCAUUACUGACGCUGAGGAGCGAAAGCGUGGGGAGCAAACAGGCUUAGAUACCCUGGUAGUCCACGCCGUAAACG
rnacentral:rRNA from 1 species